rnacentral:rRNA from 1 species
UUGAGAGUUUGAUCCUGGCUCAGAACGAACGCUGGCGGCAGGCUUAACACAUGCAAGUCGAGCGCCUCGCAAGAGGAGCGGCAGACGGGUGAGUAACACGUGGGAAUCUACCCAUCACUACGGAACAACUCCGGGAAACUGGAGCUAAUACCGUAUACGUCCUUCGGGAGAAAGAUUUAUCGGUGAUGGAUGAGCCCGCGUUGGAUUAGCUAGUUGGUGGGGUAAAGGCCUACCAAGGCGACGAUCCAUAGCUGGUCUGAGAGGAUGAUCAGCCACAUCGGGACUGAGACACGGCCCGAACUCCUACGGGAGGCAGCAGUGGGGAAUAUUGGA